CACCUGCAGGUGGAGUCAGGCACGCUCAGCUGAGAGAGCUUGUCAUGCAGCAGGGCUGGGAUGAUGGUGUUAAAAGAUUGACAACUCUCUCUCUCAUGAAGAUAUCAAACCAGUGAGGAUACAGCUAUACGUGGACAAGAUAAAAGAAGCCUAACCAGACUGUGUGACAAGUCAAGAGUCAGUACUCUCUGAGUUGUUCAGCAAAGCAAAUUGUCAACUGCACCAGCAAACUGCAGCCAAGAAGCAGAUCCAUCUGCAACUUUAGACUUCCAGCCUGUGUUAAGUUACUCUUUAAGCGAUGCAGGCACAAGGAAACCUUUUGAAGGACACUUCCUGUCUGUCCCUGCCCAUGUGAACUCAUGACUCUCUGAGGCUUUUCCAGGGAAGAUCCCGGCCACACCAGCAGCGAUGUACUGCAGGGAGGAACAUGGAGGGAGGACCCAGCAUGCGGCUCAGUGUUCAGGAAGGGAGUUGUGCUGAGGACUCAUUGUGCAGAACUACAAGGGGACAAUGGAAGAAAGUUACAGAAAAGGACAUGAUGUGAUUGACCUGCUCUCCUCCACCCUUACUGUAUUAUCAAUUCUGAUCAGACCUGUGUCAUUUUACUCCCAAUAAUAUCUAAAAGGGUAACAUUAGUAUUUAAUGCAGGACAUUCAUUCAUUGUUGGUGUACUUUAUUAUUGUACAAAUUUGCAAAUGAAUCAAUUUAGAAGUCUGGGGUUCGAGGCAGUUGCCUACUUUGCCUAGUUAGUAAUCCAGCCUUCAAUGUGGGUGGUUUCCUUCUCAAAAGUGUUGUUAUUUUGUUGUUCUUUCUAUUAAUCUAAUCAUGUGAGCAGAACCUAUUCACCUACCUGUUCACCCAUUAUCCCACAAUGGUGGCUUUUAUCUGGUCUACAAUCUCCUCUGGAGGGUUGAACUUUUAAUGUAUUAAUUUCUCAUUUGGUUUGUUGCUGUCCUCUGUGUGGAGCACAAUAUAAUUUCUAAUGUAAAA